UACGUAGGGGGCAAGCGUUGUCCGGAUUCAUUGGGCGUAAAGCGCGCGUAGGCGGCCAGGCAGGUCCGUUGUGAAAACUCGAGGCUCAACCUCGAGACGCCGGUGGAAACCGUAAAGCUAGAGUCCGGAAGAGGAGAGUGGAAUUCCUGGUGUAGCGGUGAAAUGCGCAGAUAUCAGGAAGAACACCCGUGGCGAAGGCGGCUCUCUGGGACGGUACUGACGCUGAGACGCGAAAGCGUGGGGAGCGAACAGG
rnacentral:rRNA from 1 species